ACAAGGGUAAACCAGAAACAAACAAAACAUCAAAUGGUUCUUGGAUUAAUAGUCCACUUUCAGACAAAAAACUCAAACUGACCAAAGUUUGCCGAUAAACUGUCACCCUUUUAAAAUACUGCCAACCCCCCCCCCCAAAACCGAGUUUUAAGUGUAGUGUCCUUUAGACACCUUCAAAACCAAACACUUCAAAACUGUUACCUGUCCUAAAAAAAACUGUCACAAAAAAAAAAACAUGCUAUAAAAUCUAAAAUCAGGUCAGAUAAAAACUUUAUUUCAAUAAGCUAAAGGGAGAGACAGUUAAAGAGAAAAUUUCCCCUGGCUCUCUGCCUUACAGCAAAAGGCAAUUAAUCUUUUAUAGAUUCAAAACAAAGGGUUUCCCAAACUAGCUUUUCCCGCCUUAGGGCUAUCUGUUUUGUGUCUUCAAAACAACUUUACAGCCGUCUUCCUCUUAUCUAAAGCAUCUCUCUUUGAGGCCUUGGCUAUCCUUUGCUUCUACAAAAUAAUCACCAGAGUUACAGGGUUGUUUAUACUGUUUAUGCUGAUUUCUGUUAUAAUAUGGCUUUUAUAACUAUGUUAUUUCUAAUCUUUCUGUUUGCUAAAAAAAUAAGUCUUUUACAGGGUCAACUAUAGCUACCAGUUGUUACAAAUAUACUAAUCCUGGCACCCGCAGUUUUCCUGUCUAAAUAAACAAUUCAAUCAAACUCUCUAAAAUAGACGGAAAAGUCAACAUUGCCCGCUGGUAUCCUCCCUCACAUUGCUAUAAUUCAACAAAAAACCAUAAUAACUGCUGGACAUGUAACCAUCUCCCUCUCCAUGCUCAAGGAAAAAUUCCUGUGAUUCCUACCCCCUAGGAAACAAUAGAAUAACUUCUAAAUCCAUCUAGUAACCCCAAUCUCCCUAACAAAACUUAAAAACAAAAUAAACAAAAGUACUACUUAGUUGUGCCAGUAGUUAAAAAUUGGUGCUUCCACAUAAACUGUUCUAAAAGUUCCUGUUUAAACUUAGAUACUAGCACAUGUCGUCAUUAUUAUACUGAUUUUACUAAAAAAGAUUGACAUAAUAAUCAUACACAAACUCCUACCUUUUACAGCUCUUACAAUAACUUUUACAGCAAAGAAGACUUAACCAAUGACAUUAAUCCUGAAUACAAACCUAUCCCCAAUUUAAAAAAUGCCCUGUGGUAUUAUAAAUAUCAUGAUACCUCCCGGGAACAGUGCUUUUUCAAUAAAACUGCAAAUCCUUCCUUUAAAUCAAAAGGUAAACGAGGAGUGCUAAAAUUAAAAAAUGAUAGCCAUCUACCCCACAAAUAUUCAGGCCUCACUACAUUAAAAAAAAAUAUUGAGUCUGUGGCUCUUACGCCUACUAUAAAAUCCCUGCCAAAAAAAAGGGUAUCUGCUAUCCGGCACUGCUAAAACCCUCUACGUCCUUAGCCACACACCUUCCACGGGGCAGGUGGCGAAACAAAAGAAAUUUGUCAAAAAGCCAAGAUAUGCUAAAAGAUAAUUUCAAAAAACCACUUACCACAAAAAAACUUAUUGGAUACUCCCUAUCUGCUAUACUCCCUGGAGUAGAUACUUCCUGUCUUAAAUGAUACACCUUGUGCCUCCAAACUGUAAUUAAAAUAAUGGCCCACGAAUACAGGAUAGGCCACCAAAAACUUUCAAAAGCUGUCACAGCUUUAGCUAACACUCAAAAAAAACUCCAACAAAUGAUAAUUCAAAAUCACAUAGCUCUUAAUUUCCUCCUUGCUGCCCAGGGAGGUGCUUGCGCAGUCAUCAGACCAAAAUGUUGUGUAUGGGUUAACAGCUCUUUUACCAUAGUUCAAAAUCACCUCAAUGAUGCAACUAUACAUAUCCAAAAUGCCAAAAAUGUAGCUAAAAUCCCCAAAGAUACAUCUCUUAACUGGUUUACUGGUUGGUUCCCUUCCCUUACGGGAUGGCUUAGACCUUUUGUGCUAAAUAUAAUUAAAAUAGUUAUAACUAUAGUCUGCCUGUUAUACUGUUUUCAGUGUUUGUGUUCUUUGGGACAAAAGAUGAUACAAAGACAAAUAAAAAUAUACGGUCAGUUCAUACAAAUACCCAGCAACAAUCAUCAAGGCCUAACUCCACAAGAGCAUAAAUAUUUAAAAGUGUGUUCCAAAACUUUUGAAAGUUUGGAACAAAGCGGGGAUUGUGAUGGGCAAGUUUGUUUUUACCCUGAAAUAAAAUAGUUUUCUGUAGUAUACUGUCAACAAUAAUUUAAAUUAUUAAAUAAUAUUAGCUUUGUAGCUAAACACAAGGCAUGACCUGUGGCCUAGCAAUGUUGCUGACCACAAGACAGAAUGAUCUCUAAGCCAGCAUUUUCUUAUGUCAAGUGCCUUAACCAUUUUGUUAAAAAAAGCAAAAAUUAAGUCUAUAUACUGGAUACCAGCUACAGCUAAGAGUGAGAUAAGAUAAGGGGGGCCCAGAGGGAAAAAGAUGGUACAGCAGAGUACAAAAAAACAGAUUAAAAUGUAUAAGAUAACACUAACUUUUUCCUUUGAAAAAGUACUGAGAUUUAUAAUACACCAUGUAAGGAGAUGAUUACCAUAAAUAUUACAUAUUCAAUAACCUUAUAGUUUCUUUGUUAAAAAAUAUAUAAAAAACAGCCUCACCCUUAAGUCGAGGCCAUUUUACCUCUUUGCUGUUUUAUGGUCUUUAUUCGAGUAAAUAAACUGCAGUUACCCCUUCACCUGUGUUGUCUGGUCUCUAAGCCUGCUAGACAACAAACACCAGGGAGUUUUCUCCCACGACACCCACCUGCAACAAACCCCCUCCUAGAUCUGACAUGAUUCAUUCCAGCACUACCACAUGGUUCCUGAUUUGAUCUCAUUCAAGUCUGGCUGGAAAUGAAGGACAAAGAGAACUUCUUCAUCACCUAUGAACAGCUGUAGCAGGUAAAAUGUUACAGCUGAAUGCCAAGCAGUGUAAAUUCCCUCCUUCCCCUCCCCUCCACUGGAGCCAUAUACCUCCCUAGAAGUUCAGGAUACUGAUUUACCCAAUACCUGUCAGUGUAAAUCCCAAGGAACCCAUGACUGAGCCAUGCAAAAAGGUGGAGUGAGUUGGUACCAGAACUGUCCCUCCACACCAUCCAUAUCCUCGUUACACAUACAACAUUUCUGUACAGAAACUACUUGCCACGUGGAAGCCUUGUUUGAAAGCUGUCUUUGACCCUGGCCUGGUCUUUUCAGUGCUGGGGAGGUAUGGGGAGAGGGAGAAGUCCUCUGCCAGGGCAUGCCCUUGGUUUCUGUUAGUGCCUGUUGUCUUCUCAGACCCCAAGGAGCACUGUGGGGGCUUUAGUCCACUUUACCUUUGUAAUGGUAACCCUGUCUGUCACCCUAGGACCUGUGGGGGGUUCUAUUGGGCUGUACCCUGGUUACUGUAAUUGCCUUUUGUCUCCCUAGGACCUCAGGGGCAGCUUAAUGAGGUUCUGCCAGUUCCGGGGCAGGAUUUGGAUGAUGGGGGCAUCUCCUCAGUGGUGGAAAAUGUCUCCUUCCAGGACAUGAAAGGAAAUAUUAUGUGCAACUUGACACUGCUCCCAGGUGACAUCAUGGACCAGGAGAAAGGCACAUUCCCGAGGAAGGAUGAGGUGAUGAGCACCCUUUUCAUACUGCCUAUGGAUCCUGCCACCCUACUGCUCGUCCUGCUGAUGCUGGGAACAGCAGUGCCUUAGGUUGGCAUGCUGGCAUGUUUUACAGGAAUCUGUGGUGACCAGACAAACCAUUUCACGGUGGCACAGAGCAAGGCCUUUGAGAAGAUUUACCAGGACAGGAUGCAGGGCUUGCACAAGGCCUUCCCCUGGGAGGAAUGCAAGGAUCUCAUCCCAUCUGAGAGCAGUGAUACAUCAAAAUAAACUUGACCACAAUGUC